rnacentral:misc_RNA from 1 species
CGGCGAGAGAGCCAGAGACAGUAUGAGCUGCGAGCGGCUUCCGAAGUCGAUUGCGUGCAUUGGGUUGACGCUAUCAGGGAGGCGAGUUUCAACAAGCUGCUACUCCAGAAGGAAGAGUUGGAACAGAAGCAACUACACUUGCUCCAGGUGGUGGAGAGCGAGCGGACGUCCAGGUGGCAGUACGCGCAGCAAUGCGAUGAGCUCGCUAACGAAGUUAAGAAACUGAGAACAGAGGUACUCGAGGUAGACAUGUUUGAAAAUAUUAUAUAUGCUUACUAUGCUUUCACUUUUUUGUUCCACUAAGGAUAUUUUAUAUAGUAUAGUCUCCAUUCUACGUGACCUUCGCGAAUUUGUACUAUUUGGGAA